rnacentral:lncRNA from 1 species
GCGGACUUUUUCGUUUACGACGGCGAAACUUAAUGUACCUUACAAGGUGGAAAUCCAACAUGCAUUUAAGGUUUGGGGUUUAAUAAAAACCCCAAAUCACAGACAGACGCAUUUUCUGUCUUAGUCUUAAGGAAAUAGCUGUCGUUCCCUCACUCCGGUUGCCGCGCCAUCGACGUUCCUUCCCGUCGGUCAUUGUUCCCUCCCGCCGGUCGAGUUCCCUCCUGUGAAGGUAUGAUUUAUUCUAUUUUCAUUUCUAAUAAAUGAUAUCUUCAAUCUUUCUAUUUCAAUGUUUAAUCUAUUUCUACUGUAAUCUAUUUCAUCGGUAUUUAAUCUAUUUCAAUGUUUACAUGUUUAUAUUUAUAUAAUUUAAGAUGGUUUUGUUGAUUUGGCGGACUUUUUCGUUUACGACGGCGAAACUUAAUGUACCUUACAAGGCGAAAAUCUGCCAUGCAUGUAAGGUUUGGGGUUUAAUAAAACCCCCAAAUCAAAGACAUAUGCAUUUUCUGUCUUAGUCUUACGGAAAUAGCCGUCAUUCCCUCACUUCGGUUGCAGCGCCGUUGACGUUCCUUCCCGUCGGUCGUCGUUCCCUCUCGCCGGCCGAGUUCCCUCCUGUGAAGGUAUGAUUUAUUCUAUUUUCAUUUCUAAUCUAUGACAUCUUCAAUCUUUCUAUUUCAAUGUUUAAUCUAUUUCUACUAUAAUCUAUUUCUACUGUAAUCUAUUUCAUCGGUAUUUAAUCUAUUUUAAUGUUUACAUGUUUAUAUUUACAUAAUUUAAGAUGGUUUUGUUGAUGGAUUUUUUUUUGGUUGGUUGCUGUUGAUUGAUUUUUUAAGAUGGUUUUGCUGUAAUUUAGGAAUAGUAUUGAUAUUUACAUGUUUAAACUGAUAUUUAGGAAUAGUAUUAAUAGUAUUGAUAUUUAGGAAUAGUACUGAUAUUUCAAUGAUAAUUUUGUUUGAUUGUUUGCUGUUGAUUGAUUUUUG